rnacentral:rRNA from 1 species
AGUCUCCAAAGCCGCAAGGCGCUUCGGGAGGGGCCUGCGUCCGAUUAGCUCGUUGGUGGGGUAACGGCUCACCAAGGCGACGAUCGGUAGGUGGUCUGAGAGGACGAUCACCCAGACUGGGACUGAGACACGGCCCAGACUCCUACGGGAGGCAGCAGUCGGGAAUUUUGCUCAAUGAGCGAAAGCCUGAAGCAGCAACGCCGCGUGAGGGAUGACGGCCUUCGGGUUGUAAACCUCUUUUCUCAGGGACGAUGAUGACGGUACCUGAGGAAUAAGCCACGGCUAACUACGUGCCAGCAGCCGCGGUAAUACGUAGGUGGCGAGCGUUAUCCGGAUUUACUGGGCGUAAAGAGCGCGCAGGCGGUCGUGCAAGUCGGAUGUGAAAGCCCCCGGCUCAACUGGGGAAGGUCAUUCGAUACUGCUCGACUUGAAGGCGGGAGAGGGAAGCGGAAUUCCCGGUGUAGUGGUGAAAUGCGUAGAUAUCGGGAGGAACACCAGUGGCGAAGGCGGCUUCCUGGCCCGUUCUUGACGCUGAGGCGCGAAAGCUAGGGGACAAACGGGAUUAGAUACCCCGGUAGUCCUAGCCGUAAACGAUGACACUAGGUGUUGGUGGUAUCAACCCCGCCAGUGCCGAAGCUAACGCAUUAAGUGUCCCGCCUGGGGAGUACGGCCGCAAGGCUAAAACUCAAAGGAAUUGACGGGGGCCCGCACAAGCAGCGGAGCGUGGGGUUUAAUUCGAUGCAACGCGAAGAACCUUACCAGGGCUUGACAUGACCAGGACAACGGCGGAAACGUCGUCUUCCCGCAAGGGACCUGGCCACAGGUGUUGCAUGGCUGUCGUCAGCUCGUGUCGUGAGAUGUUGGGUUAAAUCCCGCAACGAGCGCAACCCCUGCCGUGUGUUGUAUCUCUCACACGGGACUGCCGAGAGAAACUCGGAGGAAGGUGGGGACGACGUCAAGUCAGCAUGGCCCUUACGUCCUGGGCUACACCCACGCUACAAUGGCCGGUACAACGGGCGGCGAAACCGCGAGGUGGAGCGAAUCCCUUAAAGCCGGUCUCAGUUCGGAUUGUAGGCUGCAACUCGCCUGCAUGAAGCCGGAGUUGCUAGUAACCGCCGGUCAGCAUACGGCGGUGAAUAUGUUCCCGGGCCUUGUACACACCGCCCGUCACGUCAUGAAAGCCGAUAACACCCGAGGCCGGUAGGCCAACCGCAAGGAGGCAGCCGUCGAAGGUGGGAUUGGUGAUUGGGACGAAGUCGUAACAAGGUA